UACGGGGGGGGCAAGCGUUGUUCGGAAUUACUGGGCGUAAAGGGCUUGUAGGUGGCCAACUAAGUCAGACGUGAAAUCCCUCGGCUUAACCGGGGAACUGCGUCUGAUACUGGAUGGCUUGAGUGUGGGAGAGGGAUGCGGAAUUCCAGGUGUAGCGGUGAAAUGCGUAGAUAUCUGGAGGAACACCGGUGGCGAAGGCGGCAUCCUGGACCAUUACUGACACUGAAAGGCGAAAACCAGGGGAGCAAACGGG
rnacentral:rRNA from 1 species